ACGUAUGGGGCGAGCGUUGUUCGGAAUUAUUGGGCGGAAAGGGCGUCUAGGCGGGGGAUUAAGUUAGAUGUGAAAGCUAUGGGCUCAACCCAUAAAUUGCAUUUAAGAAAGGUUCUAAUGAAUUCGGGUGAGGAGAGCGUAAGUCCAGGUGUUGCGGUGAAAUACCUGGAUAUCUGGAAGAACAGCAAUGGCGAAUGCGGUAUUCUGGCCAAUGAAUGACGCUGAUGCACGAGAGCGUGGGGAGCGAACAG
rnacentral:rRNA from 1 species